GCCGGGCGCAGUAGCGUGCGCCUGUAAUCCAAGCUGGCCGGGAGGCUGAGGCUGGCGGACCGCUUGAGCUCAGGGGUUCUGGGCUGCAGUGAACUAUGCCGAUCGGGUGUCCGCACUAAGUUCGGUAUCGAUAUGGUGCUCCUGGGGGAGCUCGGGACCACCAGGUCGUCUAAGGAGGGGUGCACCGGCCCAGGUUGGAGACGGAGCAGGUCAAAGCCCCCGUGCCGAUCCGUAGUAAUUAUUGGAAUAAUUUUACCACAAUAUUACUGGUUUUACUGUAUUUUUUAUCAGAUAAAUGCAGCCUU
rnacentral:SRP_RNA from 1 species